GAUGAACGCUGGCGGCGUGCCUAAUACAUGCAAGUCGAGCGAACGGACGAGAAGCUUGCUUCUCUGAUGUUAGCGGCGGACGGGUGAGUAACACGUGGAUAACCUACCUAUAAGACUGGGAUAACUUCGGGAAACCGGAGCUAAUACCGGAUGAUAUUUUGAACCGCAUGGUUCAAAAGUGAAAGACGGUCUUGCUGUCACUUAUAGAUGGAUCCGCGCUGCAUUAGCUAGUUGGUAAGGUAACGGCUUACCAAGGCAACGAUGCAUAGCCGACCUGAGAGGGUGAUCGGCCACACUGGAACUGAGACACGGUCCAGACUCCUACGGGAGUCAGCAGUAGGGAAUCUUCCGCAAUGGGCGAAAGCCUGACGGAGCAACGCCGCGUGAGUGAUGAAGGUCUUCGGAUCGUAAAACUCUGUUAUUAGGGAAGAACAUAUGUGUAAGUAACUGUGCGCAUCUUGACGGUACCUAAUCAGAAAGCCACGGCUAACUACGUG
rnacentral:rRNA from 1 species